GACACAGGGAGGUAGUGACAAGAAAUAACAAUACGGGGCUUAAUGUCUUGUAAUUGGAAUAAUGGGAAUUUAAACCUCUUCCAGAGUAUCAAUUGGAGGGCAAGUCUGGUGCCAGCAGCCGCGGUAAUUCCAGCUCCAAUAGCGUAUAUUAAAUUUGUUGCAGUUAAAAAGCUCGUAGUUGAAUUUCUGCUGCAUUACAUUUCUCUUGUUUGAGUUUGUUAUUGUGGCUUAUUUCAGAUUGAUUUUUAUCUUUCCGGAUGAUUACUUUGAGAAAAUUAGAGUGCUCAAAGCAGGCUUUUGCCUUGAAUAGUUUAGCAUGGAAUAAUAGAGUAGGACUUUGGUUCUAUUUUGUUGGUUUUAGGUACCAAAGUAAUGGUUAAUAGGAACAGUUGGGGGCAUUCGUAUUUAACUGUCAGAGGUGAAAUUCU
rnacentral:rRNA from 1 species